GUUAUUUUGGCAGAGUAGUGCACAGGAUUUAGAAUCUUUAUAUGUAAAUUUACAAAUAACA
rnacentral:tRNA from 1 species